AAUAAAAACAGGAAAUCGUAAUGAAAUACAAGUAAUUUGUAUUUACAUCUUGUUUAAUGAAUAUUCACAAAGUGCUGUGUGGUUAAGUGAUUACAAAGCCACUGAAUUUUAGUCAUAAUUCUGCCCGUUUUCCUUAAAUUGCAAUACGAUUUUAUUAUUUUAAGUUUAUGCAUAUACAUAUAAAACAAAUAUCUCCAGUCAUCAUUUGAAGUCUGAGUUGGGUGUAGAUUGCGAAAACUGUGCUGCCAAGAUGUUGUAACAAAUCUCGCGAUAGGAUAGAUCAUCUCGCGAUAGGAUAGAUUAUCUCGCGAUGGGAUAGAUUAGCUCGCAAUACAAUACAUUAUCUCGCGAGAAAACUUUAACACGUUGUUGUCGUUCCAUAACCAGGAGGAGAGCGCGUCGUUGUGUUGCAAAGCUUUACGAAUUAUUAAAAAUCUACUGGUGAUGGAUGCACAACAUGACACCAUCAACGUCAACAACACUCGUGGACCCGUGGAGACAUGUUGAGGUGGUCACAUAACGAACAGCCAUCUGUCAGGCCAUGUGCCACAACUGAACAAGUAUUGUCUCCAGUCCCAAAUGCUUCAUUGCCAUCCCAGUCCCAGAGGACCCCCAGUGUAUGUGAGAACUUUGCUGUCGCAUCUUAUUUUAUACACAUUAUACCUUAAUACCAACACAGACUAAUGUAUAAAUACAUACAUUUCUCUGAAUCAGAAUUCAUACAGUUAAAAAUAUAGAGGCUACAAUGUCUGUCAUUGCUCAACAAGAGCUAAAGUACAGCCAGCUAAUUUGACAGUAACUAAUGCAGUAAAAUUGCACAGCAGCCUUAUUACUUUACCUUCACUUAUAGCCAACCCUGGUCCUCGAGAGCCACUGCACUGCUUGUUUUCCAGCUGUCCCUGCCCUUCCAGCUUCUGAUUGACAACACACCUGAUCCAUUACUAAUCAGCAGUGAGUAAGGCAUGGAUAGUUGGAAAACAAGCAGAUGCGCUGAAGAGGUGGAGUCCAACUGCCACAGUCUCCGAAAUUGAUGCAUUAAUGGUGGAACACCUAAAGCACGCUCCAGGAAGAGCUGGGGGCGGUGGUUAUAAGAAAUAAGCUGUUUUGAGAGACAUUUACAUGCGUGUUUACAUUAAUCCAGUAUUUUUGUUUUGUACUUGUUUGAUUUAUAGCUGUUUAAAAUUAAUGCAAAACUGUUUCAAUUAAAAAAAAUGAGUACUGCCACAAUAAUAAUGCUUCUGGAAGAGCAGGUGCUUGUGGAGCAACAAAAUGAUAGUAAACAUUUUGGAAUAAUGAUAAAUAAAUAAAAGAUUAUAAAUAUACAUAUGUGUUCACUUUUAUCCGUUACCUUGGUUAUGUUCUUGUUUGAAUAAUGGCUACUUAAAAUUAAUGUAAAGCUUUGAGAAAAUUGGUGCAUGCUUAGAAUUAACUACAUUAUACUAUUUCUAUUUUCAUGUUUAAAUAGUAGCUGUUUAACAAAUGGAAGACCUUGACAAAAAUGUAAUAUGCACAAAAUAUGUUGUAGUAAAUUAGAACGGUCUAAUUCUUGCUUAAGUCCACAAAAUGUUUUAUUGUCUGUAAUGUACACGUGAUUAAAACGUUUUGUAGACGUUCAGGUCUGA